UUACCACCCGCGACAGCGACACGUGACACGUGACAAUAGCGACACGGAAUUCUAUUUUAGAAAUGCUUUUUAUUUUCUGCGACGUCGCGGAAGGAACAACAUACAAAAAAAAUGACAGUGAUAAUCUCAGCAUCCAUAGAGAUGGUAUCACUCACUCACUAGACUGGACGGGGAUAAAGCGAAGAGGAGCGCGUGCUUUCUUUGAAGAUAUCGAUCCGACACGGCUUAUUCCUUUCCCUAGAUCCCAGGGAUGGGGUCUUGUUUUCUGGAAACGGGGAAGUGUUUUACAUUUUAAUUAUUUCCAUGUGUGGUGUGUAUGUUGUUGUUGUGAUUUUUAAAGAUUAUAUAAGAGAUAGCCUUUACGGAUAAAGAAUUACGGAUACGGUACAAAAUAGUACGGUUUAAAAAGAUUACAGAUAUUGAUUAGAUGUCAUUUUCAAAAUGUUCUCCGCAUAUUACAAGAGCUUGUCACCCUGCGAUAAGCACAACGUUAAAGAUCCGAAACAGGGAUGACGUAUUUCUGUGGGCGGAGCCUAUCUAACGGCAGAAAAUAACGGUUUUCAAGUGGCAGUCUAUGGAGCCAAGUAAGAAAACAAUUAAAAAAAGGUAAAUUUGAUUUUAUAUUUUAAAAUUCUGACUUUAUUCUCGUAGCUCCGAGAUUAUAACUUGUCACAAUUCGUCACUCUCUCUUUUCCCCUCGGCUUUUCUGGCUUUUUUCCCCCCUCAGAAUUGACAAACUCACUAUUUUUGAGUUAAGUCGAGUUAUAAAGUCCGAAUUAGGAUAUAUAAACUUGCAUUUGGGAUAAAAAAAAAAAAAAAAGUCAGAAUUGUGAGAUAAAAUAAAUGUUAUGUAAAAAUGUUAAUAGUGAGGUUUAAAUGAGUAUUAGGAUAACUUAUAUGAACGCAGAUGAGAUUGAGGGAGACGUUAAUUUUGUUUUGAUUUAAUAAUUUACUUACAAUAACAAUUUAAAAUGUAUUAACUUUUACAUAUUAAUUACAUUGACUACAUACACCCCACUGACUCCAAUAGUGUAGCUAUUUUUUAUGUAUUUAUUUGUUUUAUUUAUUAAUUUUUAAAACUGGGGUCCAGUGAGGUCUUAAUGUGGCACUGAUAAUGUGUAUUCUCAAAUUCAAAAUGAAAAAGUACUGUAUUUUAUAAUUAAAAUGAUGAAAUCGUGAAAGUAAUACUUUGACCUUCAUUAAUGAGUUAUUAAUAACAUUAAUUAUUAAUUUAAUACACACACAUAUAUAACAUUUCAUAAUGUGUAUCCUUGGAAAUGAAAAUUUGUGUAGCCUUACACAAAUAGAAAAUAGAACAGUAAGCAUGAACUAGCAUGAUCAGCUGUAAUAAUAAACUAAAAUUAUAAAUAUAU